rnacentral:rRNA from 1 species
GACGAACGCUGGCGGCGUGCCUAAUACAUGCAAGUAGAACGCUGGAGGAGGAGCUUGCUCUUCUGGAUGAGUUGCGAACGGGUGAGUAACGCGUAGGUAACCUGCCUGGUAGCGGGGGAUAACUAUUGGAAACGAUAGCUAAUACCGCAUAAGAGUAGAUGUUGCAUGACAUUUACUUAAAAGGUGCAAUUGCAUCACUACCAGAUGGACCUGCGUUGUAUUAGCUAGUUGGUGGGGUAACGGCUUACCAAGGCGACGAUACAUAGCCGACCUGAGAGGGUGAUCGGCCACACUGGGACUGAGACACGGCCCAGACUCCUACGGGAGGCAGCAGUAGGGCAUCUUCGGCAAUGGACGGAAGUCUGACCGAGCAACGCCGCGUGAGUGAAGAAGGUUUUCGGAUCGUAAAGCUCUGUUGUAAGAGAAGAACGAGUGUGAGAGUGGAAAGUUCACACUGUGACGGUAUCUUACCAGAAAGGGACGGCUAACUACGUG